CGGGGCGUGGCUCAGUUUGGUAGAGCGCUACGUUCGGGACGUAGAGGUCGUGGGUUCGAAUCCCGUCGCCCCGA
rnacentral:tRNA from 1 species